AUCCAGCUGAUGAGUCCCAAAUAGGAUGAAAUGCGAGUCCUGCUGGAU
rfam:Schistosoma margrebowiei strain Zambia genome assembly, scaffold: SMRZ_scaffold0001950